GACGAACGCUGGCGGCGUGCUUAACACAUGCAAGUCGAACGGAAAGGCCCUGCUUUUGUGGGGUGCUCGAGUGGCGAACGGGUGAGUAACACGUGAGUAACCUGCCCUUGACUUUGGGAUAACUUCAGGAAACUGGGGCUAAUACCGGAAAGGAGCUUCGGCUGCAUGGGGGGGGUUGGAAAGUUUCGGCGGUUGGGGAUGGACUCGCGGCUUAUCAGCUUGUGGGUGGGGUAGUGGCUUACCAAGGCUUUGACGGGUAGCCGGCCUGAGAGGGUGACCGGCCACAUUGGGACUGAGAUACGGCCCAGCCUCCUACGGGAGGCAGCAGUGGGGAAUAUUGCCCAAUGGGCGGAAGCCUGAUGCAGCAACGCCGCGUGCGGGAUGACGGCCUUCGGGUUGUAAACCGCUUUCGCCUGUGACGAAGCGUGAGUGACGGUAAUGGGUAAAGAAGCACCGGCUAACUACGUG
rnacentral:rRNA from 1 species